rnacentral:rRNA from 1 species
CCCUUAGAUGUCCGGGGCUGCACGCGCGCUACACUGAAGGAAUCAGCGUGCUAAAACCAUUGUCGAAAGGCAUUGGUAAACUCAUUAAAAUCCUACGUGAUUGGGAUCGGGAAUUGCAAUUAUUUCCCUUGAACGAGGAAUUCCCAGUAAGUGUGGGUCAUAAGCUCGCGUUGAUUACGUCCCUGCCCUUUGUACACACCGCCCGUCGCUGCCCGGGACUGAGCCGUUUCGAGAAAAGCGGGGACUGCUGCUGUCGGGGCUUUCGGGCCUUGGCUUCGGUGGAAACCGCUUUAAUCGCAGUGGCUUGAACCGGGCAAAAGUCGUAACA